rnacentral:rRNA from 1 species
UCCGUAGGGGGCAAGCGUUGUCCGGAUUUAUUGGGCGUAAAGAGCGUGUAGGCGGCUUGGUAGGUCCGCUGUGAAAACUCGAGGCUCAACCUCGAGAUGUCGGCGGAAACCACUUGGCUAGAGUCCGGAAGAGGAGAGUGGAAUUCCCGGUGUAGCGGUGAAAUGCGCAGAUAUCGGGAAGAACACCUAUGGCGAAGGCAGCUCUCUGGGACGGUACUGACGCUGAGACGCGAAAGCGUGGGGAGCGAACAGG